UGGAUUUGUGCCUUCGGGAACUGUGAGACAGGUGCUGCAUGGCUGUCGUCAGCUCGUGUUGUGAAAUGUUGGGUUAAGUCCCGCAACGAGCGCAACCCUUAUCCUUUGUUGCCAGCGAUUAGGUCGGGAACUCAAAGGAGACUGCCAGUGAUAAACUGGAGGAAGGUGGGGAUGACGUCAAGUCAUCAUGGCCCUUACGACCAGGGCUACACACGUGCUACAAUGGCGCAUACAAAGAGAAGCGACCUCGCGAGAGCAAGCGGACCUCAUAAAGUGCGUCGUAGUCCGGAUUGGAGUCUGCAACUCGACUCCAUGAAGUCGGAAUCGCUAGUAAUCGUGGAUCAGAAUGCCACGGUGAAUACGUUCCCGGGCCUUGUACACACCGCCCGUCACACCAUGGGAGUGGGUUGCAAAAGAAGUAGGUAGCUUAACCUUCGGGAGGGCGCUUACCACUUUGUGAUUCAUGACUGGGGUGAAGUCGUAACAAGGUAACCGUAGGGGAACCUGCGGUUGGAUCACCUCCUUACCUUAAAGAAGC
rnacentral:rRNA from 1 species